UACUCGAGUGGCGAACGGGUGAGUAACACGUGGGUGAUCUGCCCUGCACUUCGGGAUAAGCCUGGGAAACUGGGUCUAAUACCGGAUAGGACCAUGCUUUAGUGUGUGUGGUGGAAAGUUUUUUCGGUGUAGGAUGAGCCCGCGGCCUAUCAGCUUGUUGGUGGGGUAAUGGCCUACCAAGGCGGCGACGGGUAGCCGGACUGAGAGGUUGGUCGGCCACAUUGGGACUGAGAUACGGCCCAG
rnacentral:rRNA from 1 species